GACGAACGCUGGCGGCGUGCUUAACACAUGCAAGUCGAACGAAGAGCGAUGGACGCUUGCUUCUAUCACUCUUAGUGGCGCACGGGUGAGUAACGCGUAAUCAACCUGCCCUUCAGAGGGGGACAACAGUUGGAAACGACUGCUAAUACCGCAUACGAUCUAAUCUCGGCAUCGAGGAUAGAUGAAAGGUGGCCUCUACAUGUAAGCUAUCACUGAAGGAGGGGAUUGCGUCUGAUUAGCUAGUUGGAGGGGUAACGGCCCACCAAGGCGAUGAUCAGUAGCCGGUCUGAGAGGAUGAACGGCCACAUUGGGACUGAGACACGGCCCAGACUCCUACGGGAGGCAGCAGUGGGGAACCUUCCGCAAUGGACGAAAGUCUGACGGAGCAACGCCGCGUGAGUGAUGACGGCCUUCGGGUUGUAAAGCUCUGUUAAUCGGGACGAAAGGCCUUCUUGCGAAUAGUGAGAAGGAUUGACGGUACCGGAAUAGAAAGCCACGGCUAACUACGUG
rnacentral:rRNA from 1 species